CCCUUAGAUGUUCUGGGCUGCACGCGCGCUACACUGACGCACGCAACAGGUGCCUGCUCCGAGAGGACUGGGUAAUCAUUUGAGUGUGCGUCGUGAUGGGGAUAGAAUAUUGUAAUUAUUACUCUUCAACGAGGAAUUCCUAGUAAGCGCCAGUCAGCAGCUUGCGCUGAUUACGUCCCUGCCCUUUGUACACACCGCCCGUCGCUCCUACCGAUGGGUGAUCCGGUGAGGCUUUGGGAUCUGAGCGGAAAGAGCGUUUCGCUGUUUCUGCUCGGAAAACUCAGUCGAACCUUAUCAUUUAGAGGAAGGAGAAGUCGUAACA
rnacentral:rRNA from 1 species